rnacentral:lncRNA from 1 species
GGAGGGAAAGCAGUGGAGUUUAAACUCGGGGCUUUACUGUUCAAAUACAGGAGGUCGCACCGCUUGGUGUCCCCUUGAAGACCAAAAUGAAAGAAUUUAGAUCGCUAUUAUUGUCUCUAUUAUUACUAUCUCUAUCAUGCACUCGCAUGCAUGAUAAUAUUAUCUUUAUUUAUUAUCGAUUAAAAAAAGUAAAUUAUACUCCCU